GGCCAGCAGCCGCGGUAAUACGAAGGGGGCGAGCGUUAUUCGGAAUCACUGGGCGUAAAGCGUGCGUAGGCUGCUUAGAAAGUUGGGAGUGAAAGCCCAGGGCUCAACCCUGGAAUUGCUCUCAAAACUACUAGGCUCGGAUUCGGGAGAGGAUAGCGGAAUUGUCAGUGUAGCAGUGAAAUGCGUAGAUAUUGACAGGAACACCAGUGGCGCAAGCGGCUAUCUGGACCGACAUCGACGCUGAGGCACGAAAGCGUGGGGAUCAAACAGGAUUAGAUACCCUGGUAGUCCACGCCGUAAACGAUGUGUGCUUGUCGCUGGGGGGUUCACCCUUCGGUGACGCAGCUAACGCGUUAAGCACACCGCCUGGGAAGUACGGCCGCAAGGUUAAAACUUAAAGGAAUUGGCGGGGGAC
rnacentral:rRNA from 1 species